AGAGUUUGAUCCUGGCUCAGAUUGAACGCUGGCGGCAGGCCUAACACAUGCAAGUCGAGCGGUAGCACAGAGAGCUUGCUCUCGGGUGACGAGCGGCGGACGGGUGAGUAAUGUCUGGGAAACUGCCUGAUGGAGGGGGAUAACUACUGGAAACGGUAGCUAAUACCGCAUAACGUCGCAAGACCAAAGUGGGGGACCUUCGGGCCUCAUGCCAUCAGAUGUGCCCAGAUGGGAUUAGCUGGUAGGUGGGGUAACGGCUCACCUAGGCGACGAUCCCUAGCUAGUCUGAGAGGAUGACCAGCCACACUGGAACUGAGACACGGUCCAGACUCCUACGGGAGGCAGCAGUGGGGAAUAUUGCACAAUGGGCGCAAGCCUGAUGCAGCCAUGCCGCGUGUGUGAAGAAGGCCUUCGGGUUGUAAAGCACUUUCAGCGGGGAGGAAGGCGGUGAGGUUAAUAACCUCACCGAUUGACGUUACCCGCAGAAGAAGCACCGGCUAACUCCGUGCCAGCAGCCGCGGUAAUACGGAGGGUGCAAGCGUUAAUCGGAAUUACUGGGCGUAAAGCGCACGCAGGCGGUCUGUCAAGUCGGAUGUGAAAUCCCCGGGCUCAACCUGGGAACUGCAUUCGAAACUGGCAGGCUAGAGUCUUGUAGAGGGGGGUAGAAUUCCAGGUGUAGCGGUGAAAUGCGUAGAGAUCUGGAGGAAUACCGGUGGCGAAGGCGGCCCCCUGGACAAAGACUGACGCUCAGGUGCGAAAGCGUGGGGAGCAAACAGGAUUAGAUACCCUGGUAGUCCACGCUGUAAACGAUGUCGAUUUGGAGGUUGUGCCCUUGAGGCGUGGCUUCCGGAGCUAACGCGUUAAAUCGACCGCCUGGGGAGUACGGCCGCAAGGUUAAAACUCAAAUGAAUUGACGGGGGCCCGCACAAGCGGUGGAGCAUGUGGUUUAAUUCGAUGCAACGCGAAGAACCUUACCUGGUCUUGACAUCCACAGAACUUAGCAGAGAUGCUUUGGUGCCUUCGGGAACUGUGAGACAGGUGCUGCAUGGCUGUCGUCAGCUCGUGUUGUGAAAUGUUGGGUUAAGUCCCGCAACGAGCGCAACCCUUAUCCUUUGUUGCCAGCGGUUAGGCCGGGAACUCAAAGGAGACUGCCAGUGAUAAACUGGAGGAAGGUGGGGAUGACGUCAAGUCAUCAUGGCCCUUACGACCAGGGCUACACACGUGCUACAAUGGCAUAUACAAAGAGAAGCGACCUCGCGAGAGCAAGCGGACCUCAUAAAGUAUGUCGUAGUCCGGAUUGGAGUCUGCAACUCGACUCCAUGAAGUCGGAAUCGCUAGUAAUCGUAGAUCAGAAUGCUACGGUGAAUACGUUCCCGGGCCUUGUACACACCGCCCGUCACACCAUGGGAGUGGGUUGCAAAAGAAGUAGGUAGCUUAACCUUCGGGAGGGCGCUUACCACUUUGUGAUUCAUGACUGGGGUGAAGUCGUAACAAGGUARCCGUA
rnacentral:rRNA from 1 species